rnacentral:lncRNA from 1 species
GAUGACCUGAUGAUCGGAUGGGUCAAAGUAUUGCAAAGCAACCUUCUAGAACCUACUGGCAUAUGGUUACUAUAUAAUUCAUCUCUUUGACCCAAAUACUCAAGGUGACUUAUGGUUUAAUUGUUAACCCUAAUUAAGUUGACCAAAUUGUAUUUCAACCUUUCAAAUCUAUCUCAUAAAUUAUCCUGACCAAAAUUUUGCUAAAUUAAAAAAUACUGAUGCAUAUCUCCUACCAAUUCAGAGGGAUCAAUUCCAUCUUGACUCACACACCGACUAGAUAAGUACUUGACUGCACCUAGUAUACUUCCAUCACUAAGUUAGAAACUCAGAUAGUCUGAUACUAAAGUAUAGUGAGUUGCUUACAAGUCAUCGUAGUGGUCUC